GCUUUAUUCGGCUCAUUUUCUGUGAACGAUGUGGCGAGGGGGUAACGUUAAGGUGGAGUUAGCAAGCUAACGUUAGCCAACUAAGACCGGCUGGCUGGCUUGCUGGUUCCACCGUGCUUUUAUGCCACAUCGGUUACAGAGAAUGAGCUGAGCUGCAGGUUCGGUCUAAAGUUAGCGGCCCGCUGAGCCACUGCUGCUGGGUCUAACUGUCCCUCCUCACUCCCUGAAACUCAGAGAACAUCGGCGACUCUCUUCCCUGCAACACAGUUUACGGCCCCACUGAGGUGUAUUGUCACUAAAACAACUAACAACAAUCGCCAUUUUUUUCAGGGGCCUUUCU